rnacentral:rRNA from 1 species
AGUGAACGCUGGCGGUAGGCCUAACACAUGCAAGUCGAACGGCAGCACAGUAAGAGCUUGCUCUUACGGGUGGCGAGUGGCGGACGGGUGAGGAAUACAUCGGAAUCUACUUUUUCGUGGGGGAUAACGUAGGGAAACUUACGCUAAUACCGCAUACGACCUACGGGUGAAAGCAGGGGAUCUUCGGACCUUGCGCGAUUGAAUGAGCCGAUGUCGGAUUAGCUAGUUGGCGGGGUAAAGGCCCACCAAGGCGACGAUCCGAAGCUGGUCUGAGAGGAUGAUCGCCCACACUGAAACUGAGACACGCCCAACACCCCCGGGGGGGGCCGCAGGGGGGAUUGUUGGAAAAGGGGCGAAACUCUCAUCACGCAAUCGCGGGAGGGUGAAGAGGGCUUUGGGGUUUAAACGCCCUUUUGUGGGAAAAAAAAAGCAGAAGGUUAAUACCCCGGUCUUGGGAGGGUCCAAAAAGAAAACCACCGGUAAAACCUUG